rnacentral:rRNA from 1 species
CCCUACGGGGGGCAGCAGUGGGGAAUAUUGCACAAUGGGGGAAACCCUGAUGCAGCGACGCCGCGUGAGCGAAGAAGUAUUUCGGUAUGUAAAGCUCUAUCAGCAGGGAAGAAAAAAAUGACGGUACCUGAGUAAGAAGCACCGGCUAAAUACGUGCCAGCAGCCGCGGUAAUACGUAUGGUGCAAGCGUUAUCCGGAUUUACUGGGUGUAAAGGGAGCGCAGGCGGCACGGCAAGCCUGAUGUGAAAGCCCGCGGCCCACCCGCGGGACUGCAUUGGGAACUACCGGGCUGGAGUGCCGGCGAG